CUAAUACCGCAUAAGAUUACAGUACCGCAUGAUACAGUGAUCAAAGGAGCAAUCCGCUGAAAGAUGGGCUCGCGUCCGAUUAGAUAGUUGGUGAGGUAACGGCUCACCAAGUCGACGAUCGGUAGCCGGACUGAGAGGUUGAACGGCCACAUUGGGACUGAGACACGGCCCAGACUCCUACGGGAGGCAGCAGUGGGGAAUAUUGCACAAUGGGCGAAAGCCUGAUGCAGCAACGCCGCGUGAGGGAAGACGGUUUUCGGAUUGUAAACCUCUGUUUUCGGUGACGAAUAAAUGACGGUAACCGAGUAGGAAGCCACGGCUAACUACGUGCCAGCAGCCGCGGUAAUACGUAGGUGGCAAGCGUUAUCCGGAAUUACUGGGUGUAAAGGGAGCGCAGGCGGGAUAGCAAGUCAGUUGUGAAAACUAUGGGCUCAACCCAUAGAUUGCAGUUGAAACUGUUAUUCUUGAGUGGAGUAGAGGCAAGCGGAAUUCCGAGUGUAGCGGUGAAAUGCGUAGAUAUUCGGAGGAACACCAGUGGCGAAGGCGGCUUGCUGGGCUCUAACUGACGCUGAGGCUCGAAAGUGUGGGGAGCAAACAGGAUUAGAUACCCUGGUAGUCCACACUGUAAAC
rnacentral:rRNA from 1 species